UACGAAGGGGGCGAGCGUUGUUCGGAAUUACUGGGCGUAAAGUGUGCGCAGGCGGCCGCGCAAGUCGAGUGUGAAAGCCCCGGGCUUAACUUGGGAAUUGCGCUCGAAACUACGUGGCUGGAGUGUGGCAGAGGAAGGUGGAAUUCCACGUGUAGCGGUGAAAUGCGUAGGAGAUGUGGAGGAACACCAAUGGCGAAGGCAGCCUUCUGGGCCAACACUGACGCUCAUGCACGAAAGCGUGGGGAGCAAACAGGA
rnacentral:rRNA from 1 species